GCUAAGUCAUGCAUGUCAACGGAAGCUUGCUUCCGUGGCGGAGAACUCAGUAAUGCGUUGAGAAUCUACCCUGAAGACGGUGAAAACUACGGGAAACUGUGGAUAAUCGCCGAUAGCUAAUCCCGGCUGGAAUGCGGUUUUAGCGAAAGCCUCGGCGCUUCAGGACGACUCAGCGUCGGAUUAGCUUGACGGUGGGGUAAUGGCCCACCGUGGCUAGGAUCCGUAAGGGCUAUGAGAGUAGUGACCCUGAGUAGGGAACUGAGACAAGGUCCCUCGCUCUACGGAGUGCAGCAGGCGCGAAAAUUGUACAAUCAGCGAAAGCUGGAUACAGCUAAUCCAAGUGCCAUCCUAACGGGUGGCUUUUAUCGAGAGUAUAUAGCUCGAUGAAUAAGGAGAGGACAAGACCGGUGCCAGCCCCCGCGGUAAAACCGGCUCUUCGAGUGGUGUGCAUGUUUACUGGGCGUAAAGCAUUCGUAGGCGGGCACGUAAAUUCCGGCUCAAAGACCUGGUCCCAAAUCAGGAACCGGCCGGGAGACUGCAUGCCUUGAGAGCGGGAGAGGUUACCGGUACAGCCGGAGUAAGGGUGAAAUCUUGUGAUCCCGGUUGGACCACCGAUGGCGAAGGCAGGUAACUGGAACGCGUCUGACGCUGAUGGAUGAAAGCCAGGGUAGCGAGCCGGAUUAGAUACCCGGGUAGUCCUGGCCGUAAACGAUGCCGGUUAAGUGUUAGGAGAACGGGCUUGACCUUGUUCCCCUAGUGCCGUAGCUAACGCGUUAAACCGGCCGCCUGGGAAGUACGGUCGCAAGACUGAAACUUAAACAAAUUGACGGGAAAUCACCAGAAUCCGUGGAGCCUGCGGUUUAAUUGGACCCAACCCCCGGAAUCUCACCAGGGCCGACAACAGGAUGAGGGUCAAGCUAAUGACUUUACUCGACUGUUGAGAGGAGGUGCAUGGCCGUCUGUAGCUCGUGGCGUGAGCUGUCAGCUUAAGUGCUGCAACGAGCGAGACCUUAACUGCUAAUUGCCAGCGAGGGGAUCCGUCCCCGUUCGGGUACCUUAGCGGGAUUGCCAGCGAGAAGUUGGAUGAAAGCAAGGCAACGGCAGGUCAGUAUGCCCCGAAUGCCCUGGGCUACACGUGGGCUACAAUGGCCCGGACAAUGCGUACUCCGAACCCGAGAGGGUCAGGUAAUCGUUGAAACCGGGUCUCAGUUGGGAUCGAGGGUUGCAACUCACCCUCGUGAACGUGGAAUGGAUAGUAAUCGCGGAUCAACAGUCCGCGGUGAAUACCUCCCUGGUUUUUGUACACACCGCCCGUCGCACCAUGCGAGGCGGUCAUGUCUGAGGUGGCGGUUUCGUGCUGUUAUCGAAGGUGUGGCUGCUGAGUAGGGUGAAGUCGUAACAAGGUA
rnacentral:rRNA from 1 species